AUGGGCAGGUGGCUGCAGGAGUGGGGGGACAUGCCCAAGGUCAGGCUGGAUGGGGCUUGGAGCAACCUGGGCUGGUGGGAGGUGUCCCUGCCCAGAGCAGGGGGGUUGGGACUCGAUAUCUUUAAGGUCCCUUCCAACCCAAACCAUUCUAGGAUUCUAUGCCUGGAGGAGGGGGUGCCCAGGACACAGACUCACCACUGGCCCAGCCAUGCUGCAGGGGACAGAUGGGGGAGGAUUUUGCCUCCAGGUUGUUUGCCAGGAACAAAAAAAACUGCUUCAGCUUCUGUCCUGUCCAUGCAAGCAGGCUGGGCCUUCCCACCAGUACCCAGGGCUGCCGAGCUGACUGGAAGGGACAAACACCCCCCACCUCCAGGCCAAGCACUCCACCCAGGAACACGGCAAACCCAGGGCAGAACCUGCCAAGAGACCAGUGGGAAGUGUCUGUUCUCUGGGAGCAGCAGCACAAAAUGUAGCCGUGAGGUGGAAAAACAGCUUAAAAUAACUGUGAUCCAGGUGACCAUGGGAGAGCAUCAGGAAGGUCCAGCAGAUGAGCGUGGAGGACAAGCAAGCCAGACCUGGCACUAGAGAGAGCCAUGACUUCCAAAAGAGCUGUGGCUGUUUCAAAGGGACCAGCCAAAUGGGGAGCGGUGGUGCUGGGAUUCCCAUCUCCUUGGGGAUCAGAAGUUAGUCAUAACAAUGGCUAUGCAGGAGGCCUUGCAAGCAUGGAAGCAACCCUGGCUGGAGUGCACAGGUGCCCAUGUCACAGAAUCACAGAAUCUUCUAGGUUGGAAGGGACCUUAAAGAUCAUCUUGUCCAACCAUCAACCUAACUGACAAAAAAUAGACACCCCCACAACAAACAAGAAGCAUCACCAUCACUAAACCAUACCUCCCAGCACCACAUCAACCUGUCUUUUGAACACCUCCAGGGAUGGUGCCUCAACCACUUCCCUGGGCAGCCUAUUCCCUGCAGCCGUGGUUAGAAGGGCAGAAACCCCAUGGAGAAAACAUCCCUUUAACUUAGGAAUGAGGUGAGUGGAGCACAGACCUACUGUGGGAGCAGGCUCAUCCUAGGUAUGCAGUGGGGGAUUGGUGAUAGGAUCGACACACACAUGUCUAUACACUACCUUGGUUGUAGAAUCCUAGAAUUACAGAAUCAUAGAACACCAGCCUGGAAGGGACCUCAAGGAUCAACUGGUCUGAACUUUCUUGGCCAAAAGCACGGUCUACACAAGCUGACCCAGCACCCUGUCCAGCUGAAUCUUCAAAGUGUCCAAUGUUGGGGAAUCCACUGCUUGCCUGGGGAGAUUAUGCCAAUGGCUGAUUGUUCUCAUGGUGAAAAAUUUGCCUCUUGUGUCCAAUUGGAAUGUCCCCAGGAGUAAGUUGUACCCACUACCCCUCAUCUUUUAUAGUCCCAUGUACCUGUCCCAUAGGGCACAGGGGGAAUGAGGAAUGUCAGUCAGUGGAGACACGGGAAAGAGACAAGAGAUUGUGCCUUGUUUUUCCAGGAUUCAAAUCUGCUGGCAGGUUCUUUUCCUGGAAGGACUCUGUUUUCCUGAAGACCAUUUAAAUCACUGGUGGUGAGGCUACAACACUUGGACCAUGCGAAGUAGCUCACAUUUUGGUGGCAGAGCAGGCUGGGCAGGGAGCCUCAGCCCAGGCUUGGGGGGCUGCCAGCUCUCCUGGCCCUGGAGCUCGACGCCUGGCCUGGGCUGCCUGGCUCACACAGACGCUGCAGACAUCUCCUCGGUCUGUUUGUUGGGGUUUUUUUAGGUCUUUCACAUACUCCUCAUGCACAAGUGUGUUUUACCACUUCCUUGAUGUCCGUUGCUUUGCCUUAUGAUAUCCUAAGUCAGAUUUCUGCCACUGGCAGUAACUGGUCAGAUCACUGAGAAGUCACCAGCUCUGCUUAGUUGUGUCUGUGGCAUCGUUUUGAUGACUUUGCUCUGAUGCUUGUUACCGAUGGUGAGGACGGUUGUGGUUCUCUUUUUUCUUGGAAAAGUGGGGUGCAGCCUAUCCUGGCCUCCCCACUUGUGCUGUUCUAGCACUGCCAUACAUAUGUGGUCUAACAGUGGAGUUAGGAGUGUCACAGUCUCCUCCAGAAGAAGAAAUGCAAGAAUGUCUUCUGGGACUGCUGAUGGCUAUGGGUGAAGACCCUGGGACUGAAUCUCUUUGUGUCUCAAUAGGUUGGGGUGUUCUGGAAUCUUCCUACAGAGAGGGAAGGAGACUGCAUGAAACGGGUGGGACCUGAGCCAGUUGCUGGUGUGAUUGAGCUGAAUGAGCACAAGGUUGGUGCUGGUCUCUUCUCACAGGUAAUUAAUGACAGAAUGAGAGGGAACGGCUUCAAGCUCCAACAGGGUAGGUUUAGACUGAACAUUAGGAAGGAAUUUUUCACAGAAAGAGUGGUCAGGCAUUGGAAUAGGCUGCCCAGGGAGGUGGUUGAGUCACCAUCCCUGGAGGUGUUUAAGGGACAUUUAGAUGGGGUACUGAGGGAUAUGGUGUAGGGGAGGACUUUGUAGAGUAGGGUAGAUGGUUGGACUCCAUGAUCCCAAGGGUCUCUUCCAACCUGAAUGAUUCUAUGAUAGUAAAUGCUUCUGUCCCACAGAACAAGGACAAGCCUCCAGCUCACUGGAAGCCUGCUUCUUUCAGAGGAGCAAAGGGUGGCUGAGACCUUGGGAUCCACUUCAGCAUGAAUCACAGAAUUGUAGAGGUUGGAAGGGACCUUCAGAGAUCAACUAGUCCAACCCCCCAGCCAAAGCAGGGUCACCCAGAGCAGGCUGGACAGGAACGUGUCCAGGCAGGUUUUGAAGUCCUCCUAUUGAGAUGGAAUUUCCUGUGUUCCAGUUUGUGCCUGUUGUCCCUUGUCCUGUCACUGGGCACCACUGAAAAGAGUCCGGCCCCAUCCUCUUGAAACCCACCCUUUAGAUAUUUAUAAGGAUUGAUGAGGCCCCCUCUCAGUCUUCUCCAGGCUGAACAGACUCAGGUCUCUCAGCCUUUCCUCAUAAGAGAGGUGCUCCAUUCCCUUGAUCAUCUUCGUAGCCCUCUGGUGUCCCCUCUACAGCAGUUCCCUGUCCUUUUUGAACUGGGGAGCCCAGAACUGGACACAAUGCUCCUGUUUUGGCCUCACCAGGCAGAGUAGAGGGGGAAGACGACCUUUCUCAACCUGCUGGCCACUCUCUUUUUAAUACAACCGAGGAGACCAUUGGCCUUCUUGGCCACAAGGGCACAUUGCUGGCUCUACCAGCUCAGGGGGUGCUCCUGUGUUCCAGACAGCAGCAGCAGGACCCCCAUCCCAGGGGGCUGGCAUGCAAAUGCAACUCCCUUGCAAGCCCCUUGAGCCUCUGACCCAGCUUUCAGUGAGUGACUUGGCAAACAAACCUGUACAGCCCUCCCCGUGAGAGGGAGAGCUGCAGCGUGGCCAUGUCCUGGAGAAGGAGCCAUCUCCCAACAGAGCAGAAGGAAGUCCUUGAAAGACCCAGACCCAAAUCCCCCAAAUUUCUCCUCUCCUCUCCUCUCCUCUCCUCUCCUGCAGGAAGCUGGAGACAAGCUGAACACCAGCAUGUCAGACCUGAAAGGAGAUGGCAAGCUGGAAGUGAGCACAAACUGGGCUGCAUUCAGCCUUAGUUCCUGUGUUCCAGUUUGUGCCUGUUGUCCCUUGUCCUGUCACUGGGCACCACUGAAAAGAGUCCGGCCCCAUCCUCUUGAAACCCACCCUUUAGAUAUUUAUAAGGAUUGAUGAGGCCCCCUCUCAGUCUUCUCCAGGCUGAACAGACUCAGGUCUCUCAGCCUUUCCUCAUAAGAGAGGUGCUCCAUUCCCUUGAUCAUCUUCGUAGCCCUCUGGUGUCCCCUCUACAGCAGUUCCCUGUCCUUUUUGAACUGGGGAGCCCAGAACUGGACACAAUGCUCCUGUUUUGGCCUCACCAGGCAGAGUAGAGGGGGAAGACGACCUUUCUCAACCUGCUGGCCACUCUCUUUUUAAUACAACCGAGGAGACCAUUGGCCUUCUUGGCCACAAGGGCACAUUGCUGGCUCUACCAGCUCAGGGGGUGCUCCUGUGUUCCAGACAGCAGCAGCAGGACCCCCAUCCCAGGGGGCUGGCAUGCAAAUGCAACUCCCUUGCAAGCCCCUUGAGCCUCUGACCCAGCUUUCAGUGAGUGACUUGGCAAACAAACCUGUACAGCCCUCCCCGUGAGAGGGAGAGCUGCAGCGUGGCCAUGUCCUGGAGAAGGAGCCAUCUCCCAACAGAGCAGAAGGAAGUCCUUGAAAGACCCAGACCCAAAUCCCCCAAUUGUUCCUCAUCUCCAAUCUGAACCUCCCCUGGUGCAACUUGAGGCCGUUUCCUCUUGUCCCAUGGCCUGUGACUUGGGAGCAGAGACCGACCCCCCCUGGCUACACCCUCCUUUCAGGGAGUUGGAGAGAGCCAGAAGGUCUCCCCUCAGCCUCCUUUUCUCCAGGCUGAACCCCCCCAGCUCCCUCAGCCUCUCCUCAUCAGACUUCUUCUCCAGACCCCUCCCCAGCUCCGUUGCCCUUCUCUGGACCCGCUCCAGCCCCUCAAUGUCUUUUUUUGUGGUAAGAAACCUUGAUGCCUGAGUAAUAAAUGGAUCUCUGUUGGGGCA
rnacentral:lncRNA from 1 species